CAAUCUCCUCCACUCCCUCUCCCCAAACGUGGCAUUCUCACUCGGCCUUGCCCCCCGCACCUUGGUGUGAAAGGCCAGCCUUUCCCAACGCCAAGGCAAGUUGAAUGACUGAUUCUAGCUUCUGUUGGGAAAGUUUCCCGUCUGUGAGUUAUAGGACUUUCUGGUGCUCUGCCCGGUUCUGGAAAAAGGCAUCUCCUUGAACUUCCUUUCUGGUGUCCUUCAAACUCAGCCUAACCUAGCUCAGCAACACUGCCACCCUAGCCUUCCCAGUUUGAGCCCCUGGAGGAUCCGACAGACGUCCCGCAAAGACGCUGUGCCCUCCUUCCGGUCCCUCCGCAGAGCCAGGCACUGCGCGCAAGAAAGGGUUCAGGAGACACCGCUCGUAACUCGCGGGCAACUCUCGGAAUCGCCUAUGGUCUCCUUAGGGUCUGACUUCUCCGUGGCCAGAGCCCCCGAGCCAGUCCCCCAUCCAGUGAUUCGGCAGCAGGUGGCAGAGGCGCUGCGAGGAAGGGCUAGGGAGGGGGCACCUCACUCUUGGGCUGGUGGUUCAAGCUCGGGCUUCCAGUCCUCCGCCCCCGCGCCCCCGCGCCCAGCGCCGCGCAGCGCCCCCGGCGCCCCCCGCCGGCCUCCGCCCGCACCUGCAUCCGCUCCGAGCGCCUUGCCUGCUGCCACCGCCGCCGCCGCCGCCACCACCACCGCCGACUCUCUCACUCUCAGCGCGGCGGACGCCCCCGGGCCGAGCGGCGAGUGUGCUCCGGUGCCAGACCCAUCGCCAGACGUCCCUGGGCCGCUUGACUCCGGAGUCCCGCUCCUGAACCCUGCGUCCUCAAAGAUGAAUGUGAGGAGAGUGGAAAGCAUCUCAGCUCAGCUGGAGGAGGCGAGCUCCACAGGCGAUGUGUACCUUUCAACCUGUUUUCUACUUGUAUCUUCCAAAGCAAGAAGCUUUUCAUUUUGGCAGCUUUACCACUCUACUUUAAGGUUGGUAAGUAAUUUGUUAUCCAGUUCCUAUACAUUUCAUUCAUUCAUUCACUCCUUCAUUCAAAAGGGUGCUGUCAAGGGACUGGAGACAGUGCUGGAUGAGGAAGGUGAGGCUCCUGCUGGUGUGGCACUCAGCAGGGACCCUGCCCAUCUGUCUAAACAAACACAUAAACAGAGGUGUGAAUAA
rnacentral:lncRNA from 1 species